rnacentral:rRNA from 1 species
AUUGAACGCUGGCGGCAGGCUUAACACAUGCAAGUCGAGCGGGGUGAUGGUGCUUGCACUAUCACUUAGCGGCGGACGGGUGAGUAAUGCUUAGGAAUCUGCCUAUUAGUGGGGGACAACAUCUCGAAAGGGAUGCUAAUACCGCAUACGUCCUACGGGAGAAAGCAGGGGAUCACUUGUGACCUUGCGCUAAUAGAUGAGCCUAAGUCGGAUUAGCUAGUUGGGGGGGUAAAGGCCUACCAAGGCGACGAUCUGUAGCGGGUCUGAGAGGAUGAGCAGCCACACUGGGACUGGGGAACGGCCCAGACUCCUACGGGAGGCACCAGUGGGGAAUAUUGGACAAUGGGGGGAACCCUGAUCCAGCCAUGCCGCGUGUGUGAAGAAGGCCUUAUGGUUGUAAAGCACUUUAAGCGAGGAGGAGGCUCUUUUGGUUAAUACCCAAGAUGAGUGGACGUUACUCGCAGAAUAAGCACCGGCUAACUCUGUGCCAGCCGCCGCCGUAA